CUAAGUUUGAUGGCGACCGGCGCACGGGUGAGUAACACGUAUCCAACCUGCCGAUGACUCGGGGAUAGCCUUUCGAAAGAAAGACUAAUACCCGAUGGCAUAGUUCUUCCGCAUGGUGGAACUAUUAAAGAAUUUCGGCCAUCGAUGGGGAUGCGUUCCAUUAGGUUGUUGGCGGGGUAACGGCCCACCAAGCCUUCGAUGGAUAGGGGUUCUGAGAGGAAGGUCCCCCACAUUGGAACUGAGACACGGUCCAAACUCCUACGGGAGGCAGCAUG
rnacentral:rRNA from 1 species